CGAACGGCGCCGGGCGACCGGCGUGCGUGGCAAGGGUGAAACGGUGCGGUAAGAGCGCACCGCGCGCCGGGUGACCGGCGCGGCACGGCAAACCCCACGCGGUGCAAGAGCGAAUAGGGA
rnacentral:misc_RNA from 1 species